rnacentral:tRNA from 1 species
GCCUGGGUGGCUCAGUCGGUUGAGCGUCUGACUUCGGCUCAGGUCAUGAUCUCUCAGUUUGUGGGUUCGAGCCCUGCAUCGGGCU